UUUAAGAUGCUUCCUCACACAAGAUGAACUUUUCGCUGUGUUCUUUGGCUAAGCCAUUUUUUAUAAUAGUUGUAAAAUGACAGAAUGGGGAGAGAGUUGGGAAGACAUAGUCCACACAACCUGCUACUGAAAGUAUUCUGAAGCUCUUAGACUCCUAAGAUUUAUGUUAUUUAAGAAAUAUUGGCUCAAUCAACAAAUUUCGUUUUAGCACCCGCUAUGACCAAGGCACUGCUUCAGGUCCUUCACAAUUCCAUGUAAUUAUGCUUGGGAUAGAUAUCAGUUAACACAAAUGGAACAAGAAGGUAGCAAUCGAGAAAUGAGAGGACUGGAAUGUGUCUGAACUGAGGAUGUGUCCGAACUGAAUUUGGUUAAAUCUCAGAUACUAAUUAGAUAUCGUAAUACUGAGAAAGUAAUUUAACACUCUGGCCGACAGGUCCCAAGCUGUAAACCGAGGAGGUUGAAUGUAUGAUCUUGGAGAUGCAUUCUGGCAGCUCUGCAUACUGGUUCGGCUCCCAUUUGUCAGCCGUAUGCCCUUGAGCAAAUUACCUCACCUUUUAUGUCUAAUGUUUCUCUUACGGUCUCAUGGUUGUGGCAGAUAACUUUGGUAGUCCUCUGUCUUCCUUCUUCAUCAGAAUUCCAAUUUGGUUCUUUUUCUACUUUUUCCCUAGGAGUUAGGAGAAAGUUGUCCCAUCCCAGCCACAGGUUGGAUGCCUUGUCUAUUUGAACUGUGGAAAUGGCAUUCCCUUUUCCAGGAUUUUCUUGACUUGGGUAUAUGACAGAGAUCGCUGCUAGUCAAAGAGACAAAGAAUGGCUUCUGUGAGGCAUAAAGAGUCAUUUUUCAUUCUGUAUUGCCUGCCUACAGCUUGAAACUGGAACAGUUCCAGGCAGCUUGGGACUUUGACGGAAGCCAGUCUGCACAGGAUGCGAAGGACAAAGAGGUGCUUGACAAUAAGUACUUGAACACUUAAGCCAAAGAUCAGAUUGUAUCCUGAUCCUGCCCUCUGGACUUCUUACUAAAUGAAAUGGCACUGGAAGACAUGAAGAGCAUUGGACAGACUUACCGUGGAAGAAAAGGAAAAUGUCUUGCCUAUGAUCCCAGAGAAAGAUCAUGAGGGUUUGAGGCUGUACGCAACAUACACUGACCUGGGAAGAGUCUCAAGGAAGAAGAAACACAUAGGCAGUUGCAAUGGAAAAUGACAUUGUUGCCUUGCUCACCAUCUGCUAAUGUGAAGUAAGAAAUGUUUAACUUUGGGCAACUCCUGAUGAAUUGCUGCAAGAAAGUAAUUGCAUUUUGCUAUCCUUCUUCCACGCUGCUUGGCGUGCCAUUUCACGAAGAAGUUGUGGUUUGCGAGCCAGCGGGGAGCACAUCAUAGUCAUCUUUUCUUAGUCUUAGCUCAGUGCCUAUAAUGUGAGAAACACUAAAAAUCACAAAAUCAAGUUGAGAAGGUUUCUACACCUGUUGCAGGAGCGGCGAUGUGUGAUAGGAACAGAAGCUCUUAAUCCCUACAGGAAAUCUCUUAACCUCUGGGAGACUCAGCUUGCCCAAGGUUGUAAUCAGUUUCUACCUACGAGGCUAAGGGGGAGAUUGAACAAUCCAGCAAAGGAGCAUCUUCUGUGACACACCAAGAAUGAUGGGCCAGGUCAUUUUUAAAUAGAUUUAGGUAAGAGAUCAUGGCUAUGGAUGAUGAUGAUGAUGAUGAUGAUGAUGAUGAUGAUGGAAGUGAUAUUUUGUCUUUACCUUCCCCCAAAUUCAAUAGAGGCAUGUGUAUUCCAAGCGCUAUUUUAAACUGAUUGCAUAGAAAUAUAGGCAGGAGUGACGAAUAGGCUCAAAGUUACACUGAUAUAGGAGAAAGAAGUCCUGGUGUGCUGGAGUGAUGGGUGACCAUCAUUAGUGAUGGUGUAUUGGAUUUCUUUGAGAUAAUAUAAGAAAAUAUUCUUUUUCUUUUUUACUCUAAAGAAACUAUAAACAUGAAAUAGAGAGAUAGAUACUUACCUGGAUUCAAAAUGUAUGCAAUGUGAACAGAUAUCAAAACAUCAUCAGGUAGUACAACAAAAUGCAGUUUUUAUGUAUCAGUAAACUCUUUAAGGAAUUAAAAUGACCCAGAGACAAGUUCAUACGCAAGCACAUUUGUUGGUGUGGAUGUGGACAGAAAGGUGCCCUACUUCAUGUUGGUAGGAGUGUAGGCUAGUACAAACACUAUGGAACUCAGAAUGGAGACUGAACUGAACAUUAACCCAAUUUACGACCCAGCUUCCCCACUUCUGGGGAUAUAACCAAAAGAAAUGAUGUCUGCGUAUGAGAAAGUAAGCUGUAAUCCUACAUUAACAAUGACCCUAUCUUCAGUAGCAAAAACAUGGAAACAACCUAAUACUCAUCAAAAAAGGAAUAAAGAAGAUAUGGUACAUCUACG